rnacentral:misc_RNA from 1 species
UACAGAUCCAUCCAGGCCUAAGUUGAAGCCUUUGCACUGGGACAAAGUGAGAGCAACCUCUGAUCGAGCCACAGUGUGGGACCAAUUAAAAUCGAGUUCCUUCCAAUUGAAUGAGGACAUGAUGGAAUCACUUUUCGGAUGUAAUUCUGCAAAUUCUGUACCAAACGAAGCAACAAGGAAAUCAGUCCUUCCUCCAGCUGAGAAGGAUAA